GACGAACGCUGGCGGCGUGCUUAACACAUGCAAGUCGAACGGUAAGGCCCUUCGGGGUACACGAGUGGCGAACGGGUGAGUAACACGUGGGUGAUCUGCCCUGCACUUCGGGAUAAGCCUGGGAAACUGGGUCUAAUACCGUAUAGGACCCUGGGAUGCAUGUACUGGGGUGGAAAGCCUUUGCGGUGUGGGAUGGGCCCGGGGCCUAUCAGCUUGUUGGGGGGGUGAUGGCCUACCAAGGCGACGACGGGUAGCCGGCCUGUGAGGGUGACCGGCCACACUGGGACUGAGAUACGGCCCAGACUCCUACGGGAGGCAGCAGUGGGGAAUAUUGCACAAUGGGCGCAAGCCUGAUGCAGCGACGCCGCGUGAGGGAUGACGGCCUUCGGGUUGUAAACCUCUUUCAGCACCGACGAAGCGCAAGUGACGGUAGGUGCAGAAGAAGGACCAGCCAACUACGUGCCAGCCGCCGCCGUAA
rnacentral:rRNA from 1 species